rnacentral:lncRNA from 1 species
AGAAAUUUCAAUUUUUUAUGAGAUUGGAUUUGUUCUAUUUAGUGGUUUUUCAGUGACUAUUUUCGGUUUUAUUAGUGGUGAUUAAUCUUUAUGCUUAUAUUUUUUUUAUAUGAAAUGAGUCUGUUAAUAUCUGAGGAAGAAAGAAAUAAAGCAAAAUUAAAAUAUUUUGGUACAUACGUGAAACUUUUAUGAGCGAAAGAUAUGCCUUUUUUUUUUUUUUUACUGCCUUGUAACAUUGAAAUUUGAAUAUAAAACAAAUUAAAAUAUUCUGGUACAUAUAUUUGAAACUUUUAUGAGCGAAAGAUAUGCUUUUUUUACUGCCUUGUAAUAUGGAAAUUUGAAAAUAAGGGUAGAUUUUCUAUUUACGUGUUUGUGCGUGUACGGGGUAUUGUGCAAGAAAUAAGUAUUUGUACUUGAAAUGCAAGUAGAUGAAAUUGCCUUUUUUUUUUUCCCCUUUUUUAACAAAAUUAAAAUAAAAGAAUGCUCUUUCGAGGAAUUAUAUGUCAAUAAGGUGAAAAUAAAUCUUGUAUAAAUGUUCUUCAGUAAGAUUUGAGUCUGGUUGUUAAUGUAAAUCAUCGUGCUUUCUUGCUUUAUUCCUAAUGUUCAUGGUAGUUGAUUCUUUUAAUAGGACAGAACUGACAUUGUUUUUGGCCCUGAGAAUUCUGAAUCUAAAGCAGGUUCACAGAGGCUUUCUGCAUAUUGAAUUUCAUAGACAAUGUUAAUAUCUGUCCCAUGUUUUAGGUCAGAGCAAUGGCCUUCUUUAGAAAAGCUGGUAAUAUACUAAGUCGAACUGUGAGUAAUCACGUCAGUCAGGAAAUCUCAACAUCCCAACCCUCUAUCUUUCAAGCAAUAAGAUGCAUGUCAACCUCAAAACUCUUUAUUGGAGGUAUAAUACUCUGUUUGUUUUUCUUUUUAAAAAUAUAGUUGAGUAUAUAUAUUUUUUGGAUAUCAGAUUAGUAUCAACAUUCCAUGAUCUUGUGGUUUUUACAGGACUCUCAUACAGCACAGAUGACUCAGGUCUGAGAGAGGCUUUCAGUAAAUAUGGAGAAGUUGCCGACGGUACUUUAACUGUACCCAGCUUGUUAUUGAUGAUCAUGUGAUAGUUUGACAUAAUUUGUGCCAUUCAUGUCACGGGUUAUUGAAGAAAAUUAAUUAAAAGAAUAAUUGAACCCACUUAAAGUUUCAUUUUGUGUACUUGCUUGUCUUUUGGAUGGAUUAUUGAUUGAAAUGUAAGCACUGUAUAAUUGUUGAGCAAAGUUAAAGAGUUCUUAUAAAGGUUUAUUGUUGAGAUUUAUAGUUAAAUUGUGCUUUUUGCUAGUUUGUAGUCUUGAAUAUUUGCAUCGUUUCUUAUAUAUGAUUAUUUAAUGAAAUAUAUAUACUGUAAAGUCACUGUUUUACAGAACACUGUAUUAACUGAAUUUGAAAAAAUGUUGAGUGGACUUAAGUGUGUAUACAAUCCAAUUUAUUUAUGUUGGAAAUUGUAUACAUUGGGAUUUACCUUGAAUUCUACUAUUGCUUACAUGUUUAGGUGUUUUUCUUGUUUUUAGGUGAUCAUUUUAUUUCUUUGAACAGUUAAGUUUAGUGAAUUACAGUUUCCAAUUGUAUCAUACAUGUUUUUUGACAUUGGCACAGCCGCAAAAGUAUGAAUUAUUCUCAGGACUUUUGUAAAAGGAAAGGCAGCAGCGUUGGUUAUAGAACUUGAUUGUUGGACCGAAUUGUGAAUUUUUUUGUUGCAG